GCUGACCACUCUGUUUGAGAUCUGAUUCUCCAGGUGAAGCCUUGGAGAUUUCCUUCAUGUUGAAGAGCAAAGAAUAUCUUUCAUAGAGGAUACUUUACAGCCUUAGAAGCAUGAUGCCUGUUCCACAGCACACUGCUUCUGCUGUUAUGUUUUUGUCUCCGGGAUUGCUUUGACUAGAAAAGUACCUUAUUAUUUUCACCAGACUUUGAAAAUAUGCAUUUCAAGUAAUUUUCACAGAUCUCGUUGACAUUAUUCU